rnacentral:ncRNA from 2 species
UAAUAAACGGGAUUGCAGUGGCAGCUCCCGAUUUUUCACCGGGACUAUAACGGAAAGCCCGACGAACA